AUGCAACAAAUUAAAAAAAUAGCUAUGGAAAAUCAUGGGCAGCCAUAUGCAAAGAAAAACAUAUUGAUCUUUUUCAAAAGUCGGAUAGUCAUUCCUCUUUGAUCCAACAUCAUGACUUAGCUAUUACAAGAAUUCCAUGAUUCACCUAUUGGAGGGUACUUUGGUUUUCAAUGCAUAUUUAGACGUCUUGCCCAAUAGUUUUAUUGGCCAUCCAU
rnacentral:lncRNA from 1 species